rnacentral:lncRNA from 1 species
ACUUCUUUAAAUUGUACUUCCUUCAAGAGUUGGACAAGGGAAAAAAUUAAUAAUCCAUUGUUCCGGUUAAUAAUUAGGCUGAUCACCAUUAAACUCGGCCACCAAAGCCUGCAACUAUCAUGUGAGUACUACAACUUCAAUAUCAGCCUCAUAAUUACGAUAACAAUUAAGGUACUGAUCAGAUGAUAUACAUUAAUAUUGUCAUUAACAUUAUAUAUAUUUGCUAGUUUCCUUUUGAAUUUUAUUGGCCUUACUGCAUUAUGUUCAUACUUGACCUCUUCCCUUUCAAACUUCAGACUUCAGUACUGUACAGUCCUCCAAUCCCACAUGUCAAGCGAAAAUGGUGGCCCCCAUGAUGAAGAGCUGGGCGCUGAUCAGCAUGCACCCAUAUCAGAAACAGGUAGCCCUUCGAGGGAUCGCUGGAGCUAUGUUUUCUUGAUCCUACAGGCAUGCCAGAUUCUCGUCUCAAAGUGUCGAAAGAAAGUCGAAGGAGGUCACUUGCUCUUGCUGGAAUCUCUGCUGCUCCAUCUAAUCGUGUCCUGGAUCAGCACCUCUGACACAGGAAAUCAUGGGAGUAAUUCUCUUACAUAUCUCAACUAAACGAAUACAGAAAAAGAAAAAGAAAAAAAAUACCCCAUAAUUACUUAUAAUUUAUUUACAGGAUUCACGACCGAAUGGAAUUGUGAGAAUCUUACCUGCAUCCCCUCAAGUUUCUUUGAUAUCUUUUAUUUUUUCUAAAUUUCUCUCCCGUCAUUUUUUGGGUUUUUCUUUUUUAUUUUAUUUACUUUCAAAAACCUCUAUGGAAAUGGGUGAGUUGUUGGGUUAUAAUAGAUCAUCGUAUAGUUUUCAUUUAGGUUGUUUUUGGAAAUCUUAAAUGUGCAAAAUGAUUUGAUUUUGCUUUAAAAAUGUUAAAUGAGAAGUGAAAGAAAGUUUAAUGCAAGAUAAAACUAUUAUUAUUGUUGGUAUUUAAUUGUUAUUCAUGUGAUAGAAUUUACCGGAUUAUUGUGGUUGUGAAAAUUUUUUUUAUUGAAAUAUUGGUUAAUAUAUUUUUAUGAUUAUUGUUAUGUUAGAAAUUAUAUAAAUUUAUUGGUGAUAUAUUAGUGUUGAAAAUAAUGAAAAUUAUUUGUUGAAAAUUUCGAGUAUUGAGAUAUGUUUAAAAUGAUUGUUUUAAAAUUAUUAAUAUUAUUAAAAAUAAAUAAAUUGAUUAUAAAAAUUGAUAUUAUAUUAAUAUUUGAAUUAUUGGAAAAAAUUUCCCAAAUAUUUGUGGUGACUUAAUUGUGAAAAAUUNNNNNNNNNNNNNNNNNNNNNNNNNNNNNNNNNNNNNNNNNNNNNNNNNNNNNNNNNNNNNNNNNNNNNNNNNNNNNNNNNNNNNNNNNNNNNNNNNNNNUGAAUUAUUGGAAAAAAUUUCCCAAAUAUUGUGGUGACUUAAUUGUGAAAAAUUGUUGUAUUGAGUGCUAAUAUUAUUGAGAUUAUUGAAGAUAAAUAAAUUAUAACACAAAUUGCAUUUUGUUGAUAUUUAUAUUAGUGAGAAUUUUUUUGGAUAUAUACAUUGUUGGAAAUUAUUAAGUAUAUUGAGAAUAAAUAGAAUUUAUGUGGCUAAGAUUUAAAAUUAUGAUUUGAUGUUAUACAAAUUAAUUGUGAAUUUUCUUUGAUGUUUGUGGUGAUUAAAGUGAAGAAAAAUAGUUGUGUGGAUUGUUGAAAAUUAUGAAACAUAAUGGGAGUAAAUAUAAUUAUGUCCUGAAAAAUUAUGGAUGUUAAAAUAUGAUUUGAUUACACUUCAUAUGCAUCAUGGUUGUGUGAAGAGAAAAAAAAAAUUGAAGAAAUGGUUAUGUGAAACAGAAUGAGAAUGAAAAGACCUUGGAGAAGACAAAAAUGAAAGGAAAAAAGAAAUGAGAAAUGGAAGAACAAUGAGGGGUGAAUUAAGAUGGGAGUGAAAUCCCUAGAGUGAAAAACCCAAAAGUUUACCCUGGGAAGACUCCGAAUGGGGAGUGAAUUUGGGUAUGAACUCGUAUCCUUUAAUGAAAGUAAGAGAACAACAAUGCAUUGUGUGAUUGUGUGUAAGCAUUUGCAUCAUGUUGCAUUUGGAAGAAAGAUUAAUAUUAUUUAUCAAUUGGAUGUUUGAAUAUAUUAUUCGAGACUAAAAUAACUUAUUUAUUUUGUGAAUUUAGAAUUAUUGAUAUGCUAGGCAUAUGAUUGAAUAAGAGAAGCGAUAAUUUUGAUUGGUUUAAAUGUGUAUAGUUGUAGUUCAUUUAAUGUAUUUAAUAUAGAUGUAAUAUUAUAUUUUAACAUGCAAUUGUGUUUUAUUAACUUAGAAUUUUUAACCCAUUUAGGAUGUAAAACACCCUAUUAAGUAAUGUGGAAUUGCCCACUUCUUUAUUUUCUAAAAUUUUUAGAUGCAAGUAUGGUUUCUAAAGAAUUACAAGAAGAUCAAAAAGUGUUUCAGAAAGCCUCGAAAAGUAAAAGAACCAUGAUAUUAGUUGUUUUUCAUUUAUAGUACUUUUUUGAAAUGUACUCAUUUGAGUUAUAUGAACUUUUGUAACUUAAUUAUAUUUUGUUAGUUUAUAAAACAUUUUUGGAAAUAUUCUUUUGACUCAAAGAUUAUUGUAACUAUUUGGGUUAUCACCUUGUGUGGAAAAAGGAUAGGUGGAUUUAUUAUACUUGUGAACAGGAGAUGGUUGGUUUUAGAGAUAAAUAAAAUAAAAUAAAAUACUAUGAUAUAUUAAGUGUUAGCUUAGUAAAUUUAUUUAGGGUUGAUGUUGUUUUGUUGAAAAAUAAUAAUAAUAAAGUUAUCGGGACUGAUUGCCAGCUUGAAUAGGCAUAACCCUUAGGGUCAAACAUUUGACUUGAGGUUACAAGUCGAAUUCUAGGUUGUCGAGAAUCUGGGCAUGACAUGGAUGAAAAUAAAAGAAAGGAUUUUGAACAAGUUAUUGAGCAGAUGCAGUCCAAACACCUCAAAACCAUUGCAUUUGCUUACAAGAAGAUUGAUGGUCAAAGAGUUGAACCUAAGAACUUUAUCUUGAUAGCAUUACUGGGUCUUAGGGACGUGUGUUGGAGAUAGCGGAAGUUCUGAAAGCUUGUAGAAAUGUCGGGGUUAACAUCAAGCUAGUCUUAGCAGACUACGUCUUAGUGCUGGAAGCCACUAGCUACUCAGAAGUUUGGUUUACAUGUAACUAAUGCUCUAGUGCUUGAAGGUAAAGAUUUUCAUGACUGCUCCAACCAGGAGAGGAUGGAUAAGGCAGAAAAAAAUCUUGAUCAUGGGAAACGCCCUCCCUUUUGAUAGGCUCUUUUUAAUGGAGUGUUUGAAGCAAAAAGGCCACCUAGUAGUAGUGGUUGGAGGGCGAACACAUGAGACUCCAUCCCUAAAAGCAACUGAUGUAGGGGUCAAGCUAGGGACUUGGAGCCAUGGUUCAAAAUCUCAGUCGAUACCGAUAUGACUCGGCCGAGUCAUAUCCGCCUCGACCAUGGCCGGUAUCGGACCGAUACCUGAAUUGGAUAUUUUGUUAGCUUGUGAACAAACUCAGUGGAGUAGAAAUGGUGGAGAAGAUGAGAGGAUCAAAACCCAUGAAAAUGAAAAAUACAGAUUACAGAGAGUUAGAACCCUGCAUUUUGGAGUCGUCGGCAAGGUUGAAGAAGCACGCUUGGCAGAGUCGCUAGACUUUGGCACCGCUGUUGUCGACGGAGAAUGAUGAUGAGGUGGUUGAUGGAAGUGGGAGAAGAGAGAAAGCGGACGUGCAGAGGAGCUACUUGAGACUCGUGGGUUUAGAGGAGAAAGUAAUGGGUGUUUGACGGCCAUUUGAGGGUUAUGGGUAUAGAUGAGGAUUAAUAGUAUGUAUUUGUUUUAAGUAGAUAAUGAGUAUUUGGUGGGGAUUUGGAUUUUAAAUAAUUUGAUGAAAAUUAUAAUAAUAAAAAAUGAAUAAUGAAUAUUAGAAUUAUAUCAAAUAAAUAGGAAAUGAAUAUUUAUAUAAAAAUUAAAAUUAAUGAAUACAUUUUAUAAAAAAAAUUAUAUUUAUUUUUUUAAAGAUGCAUCAUGGUUUUAUUUUUUUAAUAAUUAAAAAUAUUUUAAAAAAAUUCAAAAUAUUUAAUUUAAACAUUUUUUUUGUAAAAAAAAUUACUUUUUAUUAUUUUCAUCUUCAAUAAGAAACAUUUAUUAUCAAGUGAUUAAAUUAAAAUAUUUUUAGAGAUUUUUAAUAUUAUUAUAAAUCAUCCUAAAAGUAUGCUUUUAUUAUAAUUUGAAUAAUUUUAAUAUAAUAAAAAUUUAUUUUAUUAAUUUUUUACUCUACUUAUUUGUAUUUAACUUUUGAAUAAUUUUCAUAAUUUUUAAAAAUUAUUUUAAGCUCUUAAAUUAGAUUUUUUGCUAUCAACCGAGAUCGAUGUGCCUCAAUACCUCCCAAGUCAAUGACCGAUAUCACGAUUUUAAACUAUGCCUGGAGCACCAAAAUUGCCAGAGACUUCUGACAUAGACGUCUUGNNNNNNNNNNNNNNNNNNNNNNNNNNNNNNNNNNNNNNNNNNNNNNNNNNNNNNNNNNNNNNNNNNNNNNNNNNNNNNNNNNNNNNNNNNNNNNNNNNNNGAGCACCAAAAUUGCCAGAGACUUCUGACAUAGACGUCUUGGAUCGAAACUUCAGUUUCUUGGUCAUCAUCAUGAAGCAUGGAAGAUGUGCUUAUAAGAAUGUUCAGAAGUACACCCAACUGGAGCUCACCAUGACUAUUGUAGGGCUCUCGAUUAGCUUCAUCACUACUUCAUCAUAUGGAGACUCUGAUUGUGGCAAUACCCGGGGGAAUUGCUCUGUUAAGAGAGCCACCAGCGAAGAAACUAAUGCGCUAGCAGCCAGUAGGACAUAGUGGAACACUGAUAACCAAGGCCAUGUGGAGAAACAUUAUCGCCCAGGCAUCAUAUCAGGUUGGCAUUUUAGUAAGCAUUCAAUGCAACGGAGCAGCUAUCCUGGGCACCAAUCUGGAGGUGGCUAAAUCCUUGGUGUUCAACAGUUAUGUUCUCUGCCAAGUAUUCAAUCUAUUCAAUUGCAGAAAGCUGGAGAAGAAGAACGUGUUCAAAGGCAUCCAUCGGAACUGCUGGUUUUGUGUUGCUGUGGGAGCUAUUUUGGAGUUGCAGGCCGUGUUUAUUGAGAUUGAACACAUCGUUGGUGGCAGUGCGAGGUUGAAUGGCGGGCAGUGGGGCAUAUGCUUUCUCAUUGGGAUGGCUUCAUGGGUCAUAGAUUGGGCUACCAAGUGGGCAUCAGGUUUCAUCACAGACUAGAUUGGACCCAGUCCGCACCGCACACAGCGGCUGCAAGGCUAGCAGUUGUGCUGUUGUGUGUGUCUGUACUCUGUAGCCCAAAUGCAAUCAAUCAUAAUGAGUAAUUUUCAGAGCUAAAGCCAAUUCUAAAUGGCUUCUAAACAGAGCAAUAAUUCAAUUGAAUAUUGAUGAAACAGUUAGGGGGUGGAACUUGGGAGUUGUAGUUGCAGAGAAAUCUGCAAGUCAAGCUGCUUGUACUAGUCUAUACAUUCCACACGUGGAAUAGGGAUAGACCAGAUGGAUCGCACGCGGGUUUGUUAUCUCUAUAACGCGCUGUUCAAAUACAAAACGACACCAAUUUGAUCCUUUUGGUUCAUAGUCCAUCAAUAAUAAUAAUAUUAUUAUUAUUUUUAGAGUCAUCCCACCAUUUAUUUUGGUUAAAACUAUAUAUACCUACAUUUAAUCAUAGCUAUACCAUAUACUAAUAUGUUGCAUGAUCAAUUUUGUUUCACAGUUAAAAACCAUAGAAUUUGGACCCAUAAUGCAUAUUAUCCUCCGAUAGAAUCAAUGGAAGAUUUUUCCAGAUUGAUGGUUGAGCUUGAUUAUCCGCCCACAACCGCUCUGUCUAUGGCAACUGAGAAUCUUUUAAUUAAUUGCAGAGCACUUUGCUUUGCUCUGCCAGAAGUGGGACAAAUAUCACUCAGCAGAAACUAUAUUAUUUGUUGUACCAAGAGAAUGGAGGAAUCGGGAUACAACACACAUAAUGUAGUUUGUGUUUGGGCCUGGCUUUUAAGUAAUGUUGGAGAAAUUGAAUGACCAAGAAAGAAUAUGUAUUCGGCAAAUGGUGAAAUACUUGGAACAUGGGAAGAAGGUUCACCCUUAUUUUCCACCUUGGUGAGGUUCCAGGAAAUGGGAAACCGCCGCGUUAUCACAACCGCGUUCCCCGAGCACCCAUGGUUACGAAUGGGGCCAUGAGCCAUGUGGACCAAUUGUUGAGGCAGAGGCAGAGAUGUGUUGCCUUCUAAACUACGCUGCGACGGGUCUCUCCGGCUUUUCUUGGUACCAUAUGUCGAACAAGUGGCUUCCCCUAUACAUAGCUCGACCGUACCUCCUCUACAUUCAUCCAUUUCUCCGGAGUUCUUCAGGCUAAUCAGCAUCAAACUCAGCCACCAACACCGGGCAGCUACCACUUCAUCAGUAUAAAGACUAAGGUAAUCAGAUCCUAUACAGUACUAUCAUUAACACCAUAUCUGCCGGUUUUCUUUUGAAUUUUACUGCCAGUACUAACACUAUGAUGAUGCUUAAGCUCUUCCUCUCGCCGACAACCCAGAUGUCAAGCAAAAGUUGUGUCUCCGAUGGUGAUGAGGACCUGGAGGCUCAACUUUCACCCUCAACCGCAGCUGGUAACCCUUGCAGGAAUCGAUGGCGCAGUAUUUUCUUGAAGCUACAGGCACAUCAGAUUUUCAUUUCAAUAUUAAGUGAUCCAAGGAGGUCCAUUUCUCUGGCUGAUAUCUCUUCAGCUUCAUUUUACGCCCCCGUCCGCAGCUCUGAUGGAGACGAUUAUGAAGUAAGUUCCUCAUUUCAGUAGCACAAUAUAAUUACUACCAAUCGGUUCAACCGUUCAUCAGUCAUGUCUUCGUGAAGUUCCUGUUUUUGAAUCGCCGCUACGGUCCGACCAUUCUUUUUUAACUGGUGACGGUUUCUCCGGUGAAACACUUUCCUCCUCCUCCUUCUUCUUCUUCCCUUUUUAUUAUUAUUAUUAUUAUUUACUUUUUUGACUUUUUUGUGUGGACAUGGACGAUAGCGAAUCUCGUUUUUUUUUUUUUUUUUUUUUUUUUUUUUAAUUUUUUUUAAUUUUUUUUUUAAAUUUUUUUAAUUUUUUCAUUCUACUUGUAUAUUUAUUUUUUGAAUGAGAUAUUCCGUUGAAACACAAAAAAAAAAAAAAUUUCCCAUUUUGAAUUAUUUUGACUCUUAUUUAUUUACUAAAAAAUGAAAGAAAUAUUUAAUUAAAAGAUUUAAAUACUGUUGAAAUUAAAAAUUGAACUCCUUUAAUCAUUUUUUUUUUUAAAUUUUGACUUAUUGUUCUUUACAUUGACAAUAGCGAAUCUUUUUUUUUUUUUUUUUUUGAUUAUUUUAUUUUAUUUUAUUUUAUUCUACCUUGUCUUUUUAUUUUUUGAAUGAGGUUUUGGUUGAAACACAAAAAAAUUCCCAUUUUGAAUUAUUUUUACUCUUAUUUAUUUACUGAAAAAUGAAAGAGAUAUUUUAUUAAAAGAUUUAAAAUACUCUUGAAAUUUAAAAUUGAGCUCCUUUAAUCAUUCUUUAAAAAAGAAGAAGAAUUUUUUUUGACUUUUUUGUUCUUUACAUUGACAUCUCUUUUUUAAUUUUUAAUUUUUUAUUCUACCUUAUAUAUUUAUUUUUUGAAUGAGAUAUUUGAUUGAAACACAAAAAAAAAUUCACAUUUUGAAUUAUUUUUACUCUUAUUUAUUUACUAAAAAAUGAAAGAAAUAUUUGAUUAAAAGAUUUAAAAUACUCUUGAAAUUAAAAAUUGAGCUCCUUUAAUCAUUCUUAAAAAAAAAAAAAAAAAAAAAGUGGGUUCUACCUCAUUAAUUUUAAAAUAUUUAAAAAAAAUCCAAAUUUUAUAAAUCAGUUUUAUCUUUAUCAAUUUAAAAUAUAUAUAUAUAUAUAUAUAUUUACAUUUAUAUAAUUAUUUUCUAAAAUAAGCUUUUAACAUAAUAAUAUUAAUUAAAAUUAUUUAAAAAAUAAUAAUUUAUCCUUUUAAGUUAAUAAAAGCAUCUUACAAAUAAAUAUAUCAUAAAUUUUUAUUAUAUGAUAUGGGGAACCAUACCAAUCAUUGUGAAAAAAUUAUAUAGGGUCUUUAAGUGAUAAAUAAAAUCAAAGUUGAACUCCUUUAAUCAUACUUAAAAAAAAAUCAUUAUUAUUAUUAUUUUUACCUUUUUUGUUCUUUACAACCACGAUAGCCAAUCUUAUUCUUUUUUUUUUUUUUUUUCAUUCUACGUUGUAUAUUUAAUUUUUGAAUGAGAUAUUUGGUUGAAACAGAAAGAAAUUUCCCAUUUUGAAUUAUUUUUACUCUUAUUAAUUUACUAAAAAAUGAAAGAAACAUUUGAUUAAAAGAUUUAAAAUACUCUUGAAAUUAAAAUUUGAGCUCCUUUAAUCAUUCUUAAAAUAAAAAAAAAAUUGGUUUUGCCUCAUUAAUUUAUAAUAUAUAAAAAAAACUCAAAUUUUAUAAAUAAAUUUUAUCUUUAUCAAUUUAAAAUAUAUAUAUUUUCAUAAUUUAGAUAAUUAUUUUCUAAAAUAACCCUUUCACAAAUAAUAUUAACGAAAAUUAUUAAAAAAAAUAAUUUAUCACUUUAAGUUAAUAAAAAUAUCUUACAAAUAAACAUAUCAUAAAUUUUUAUUAUAUGAUACAGGGUACCAUACCAAUUAUUGUGAAAAAAUUAUGUAGGAUCUUUAAGUGAAAUAAAAUCUUUUCUUAUAUUCUAGUUAAUAAUGAUUUUAUAUUUUACAUUAUAUAAAUCUUUUCAUCUUCCUAUAUUUUUUUAAUAAAAUUAAAUAAAUUUUUAUUAGUUGACAUCAACAAUAAAAUAUUUUUUUUUUAAAAAAGUUAAAGAGCUAAAAAUAUAAAAAUAAAAUUUUGACUUUCACUUUGUUAAAAAUAUAGAUAUUCAAUAGGAUUCAAUAUUUUUUUUUAAUUUUUUUUUUUGUUUCAAUUAUAUUUAUUUUUUAAAUAUUUUAGUUUUAAUUAUAUUUUUAUUUUUAAAAUUUUUUAUUUUAUUAUUGUUCAAUAUUUAUAAGGAGGUUUGUUUGAGGAGAGAAAAACAUUCUAAAGAGUUACAAAAAACAAAACUAAAAGGAAGAUUAGUUUUUUUACAAUUAAGCAUCUUUGUGUUUAUUUCAGUCAUUUAAGGUAAUAAUUAUUUGAACUAUGAAAAAAUACAUGUAUUUUAAAACAUUUUUAAAUGGAUGAAGAUAAAACUAAUAUAUAAAAUUUGAUUUUUUUUUCUAUAUAUUUUUUCAAAUUUUAAAUUAUUAUCCUUUUUGGAGAUUUUUACCCUUUUUUGUUUCCUCACAAAUGUCAUUUUCCUCUUAUUCCUAAUUCNNNNNNNNNNNNNNNNNNNNNNNNNNNNNNNNNNNNNNNNNNNNNNNNNNNNNNNNNNNNNNNNNNNNNNNNNNNNNNNNNNNNNNNNNNNNNNNNNNNNAAUUCAUUUCCUUCCUAUUUUUGAUAUAUAGUUAACUCUCCAAGUCUCUCAAGGGAUAAAGAUCUACCACAAUUCUUAUAUCUCUCUCUUUUUUCUUUUUUUUUCUUAUUAAGGAUGAUCAUAUUUUUCAUCUUUCUCUUCAUUUUUAGUUGAGGUUUUUGUUGUAUAUUUUUUUAGUUGUUUUUUCUUAGGGUUUUUUUUUGUAAUUAUUUUUUGUUCGAGUUUUUUGUCGGAAUUUUUUGCUAUUGUUUUUGUCUAGGAUUUUUAAAGCUAUUUUUAGCUGAGAUUUUCUGUAUUUAUUUGUUUUGUUAGAGUUUGUAAUUCUUUUGUUGGGCCUUUUAGCAUUGUUUUUUGUUAGGGUUUUCAGUAAAAGGAUUGAUAUAAAUAUAAAUUACUAGAAGAAUAUUAUCCUAACACAAAUCUUCUAAAAUUCUUAAAAUUAAAAGACUUAUAAUAAUAUAAAAUUUUGAUAUGACAUUUGAAGCUAUAAUUUUUUGCUCCAAUAGAUAGAUCCACUUGCACUUCUUCUACACACACAUACAUUCAUAAACUAUACCCUUAAUAAUAUUUUUAAAUAAAUUGUAAAUUUCAAAUAUUUUUUAAUUAUGUAAUUAUUUAAUAUAAGUUUAUAAUAUUUUAAAAUUUUAAUUAUAAUAUAAAUACAUAUUAAGACUAAAAUAAUUGAGGAUGAUUUUGCAUUUAAUAUCAUAAAAUAAAUACUAUUGGUUAAGAAUUUGAGUUAUUUAUUUUACAAAGUUAUAAGAAGUGAGUUUUCAUCUCAAGAUCAUUUUUCUAUUUUUAUAAGAAGAAUAUUUGAUUAUUGUAUGUUAUAUUUUUAUCCAUUAAUAAUACAAAAAAAAAUAUAUUUUUUCCUAUAUCUAAAUCUUAGAAAUUUUACACAAAUAAAAUAAAAGUAAAAAAAUAAAAAAUAAAUAAAAAUAAUAAUCCAAGUGCAGAAAAUGAAAAUAGGGAACUACGAAUGUGACAUAGAUAUUAAGAUUAAAAAAAAAAGUAAUUUAAAUACGAAAAAUGUAACAUGGGUACUAAUGUAUAGAAAAAUGCAAUCUAAUAACAAAAAAAAUGUCUUAGGUAACACAAAUAAUAUAAUCUUGGUGCUAAGCUAUAAGAAGUGACCUAGAUAUAGAGUUUUAUUUUAUUUUUAUAAUUAUUUUUAAUUUCAAUAAUAUAUUUAUGAUUUUAUAUACUACGGUUCCACCGGUCUAAUGAUCAUCCCUUCCUGAAAACAAUUUAAGGACAACUCAUAGGUGAAAAAAAGCAUUCACCUCACAGCCAUAGUAGUUGUCUCUCAUCAGUCAUCACCAGCAGCUGCUGCCGCUCCUCUUCACUGUCACUGCCACCCUUGCACUGUCCCUUCUCCAAGCUGUCAUUGGACAUGUUCAUCUCAUUCUUCUUGCUCCCAAACAAAAAUGGUGCCGGAAGUGCCAGGUUAAAUUUUGAGUGGCUCUAUACAAUUGUUUUGUUAUGCUGUGUUUAGGUGUUCACUGUGGGUGUGGUUAGUUCUGCGAGAGAGAAGGGUUGGGCUGUUUGGUUAUUGGUGCACAACAUAAAAACAAUUUUAGAAGGAUUGUCCAAUGGAUUGAAUUGAAACUGAGCAGACUUUAAAAGCUCCCUUAACUCAACCCCACAUGGAACGAACACCGCCAACCCUCUACCACCCUAUUCCUUUAUAAUGUGCUGCCUACCAUUUUGCAGGACUCAGAGCCAAAUGGGACUGUGGGAAUCUUGCCUCCAUCACCUCAAGUCUCUCUAGAUAUCCCGUCUGAUGCGGGUGAUGUCCGCAGUAGCACUAAUGCAAAUCUCCAACAUGCCAACAUUGCCACAAUUGUUAAGAACAAGGAUUUGGAUUCCCUAAUUAAGUUUGGCGGUGUCCCAGGGAUUGCAGAGGCUCUUCACACCGACUUAGAGAAGGGGAUCCCAGGUGACGAGCAGGAUCUUCAUCUUCGACGCUUAGCCAGCCCAAUCUCAAAAACAGAGCCAUCACCAACCUUCUUUCAGUGCCUCUUAAAAGCUUGCAACAGCUACAUCAUUUUCCUCCUUUUGUUGUCGAUGGCGUUGUACCUCGGCUUUGGGAUCAAGAAGGAAGGCCUAGAGACUGGUUGGUACGAAGGAUUCAUUAUACUUGUUGCCAUCAUCAUAAUCGUUGUGUGUCAUUCAAUUCGUGAUUUCUGGCGUGAAACCCAACAUAGGUCGUCAGGAAAACACGAGCUCUCAGAAAAGAUGGAAACAGUGGUCGAAGUUUUAAGAGAGGGAUCCCAGAAGAAACUCUCCUCCACCUCUGACAUAGUGUUGGGUGACAUACUAUGUAUCAAAAGGGGAUAUCUUGUUCCGGCUGAUGGUUUACUUGUACCAGGGGAAGCAUUAGAACUGGAUGAUCAAUCAGAGUCCAUCAUUCAUGACCGAAACCCAUUUAUGUUUUAUGGUGCAAAAGUGAUUAGCGGAAAUGGUCGCAUGCUUGUCACAUCAGUUGGCAUGAACACAGAGUGGGGUGAGAUGAUGAGGAAAGUAAUCCAAGCUCCUAAUAAGACACCUUUACAAGCUCAACUAGACAAGGUGAACACUUGGACAGAAAUUUUUGGGCUUCUCAUCUCUAUCCUCAUUAUUGUAGUGCUAUUCCUGCGCCUUACACUUGAAAAUGAAGAUGAUAUGCCGGGGCUCCCAUCGUUGAAGGGAAAACCAUCCACAAUCAAGGACUUGAUGGAUGCGGUCAAGAGGAUUAUUGUGAAACCAACAGGGCAGCUAAGUAUGUUGAUAACCUNNNNNNNNNNNNNNNNNNNNNNNNNNNNNNNNNNNNNNNNNNNNNNNNNNNNNNNNNNNNNNNNNNNNNNNNNNNNNNNNNNNNNNNNNNNNNNNNNNNNUAAUAGAAGGAUAUCCUCUUGUUAUCAUCGUUUCACUCGCAUAUGGGAAUAAGAAAGCACUGUCUGGAAAUGCCCUUGUUAAGGAAUUAUCAGCUUGUGCAAUCUUGGGAUCAGCAACAGCCAUCUGCACUGACAAAAUUGGGGGGCUAACAACGAGCACAGUACAAGUGAAAACCUGCAGGAUUGGUGGAGAAGAUAUCAAUGGCGACUCUGUCAUACAUCCAGAUGUAAUUGAUGCUCUGUGUUAUGGUAUCUACGCACUAGUUCUGGACCAAGAGAAUCCUUGUGGCUUAGAAGAGGAAGAGGUUGUUUCCUGGGCUAAAUCCAGGUUAGGCAUGAAGCAAGAUAUUUUAAAGCAGAGUUGCACCUUUGUUGGGGCUGAAGAAUUGAACUCCAAUGAGGGAGGAAGUCAAGUGUUGCUGAGGAAGACCCGGGGCAAUGAAACAGUUGAGUGCUUGCACUGGAAAGGCCCUGCAACAACUAUACUGACCCAGUGUUCAUCCUACUAUGACAGUGAAGGGAAAAAAAAGGACAUGGGAGAGAAGAGGAUGGAUUUUGAAAAAUUUAUCCAGCAGAUGCAGUCCAAAAAACUCAAAACCAUGGCAUUUGCCUACAAGGAAAUUAAUGACUCAAGUGAAGAAAACAGCUUAAUCUUGAUAGGACUAUUGAGUCUGAGGGACACAGAUUGGACAGAGACAAAAGAAGCUGUGCAAGCUUGUAGAAAUGCUGGGGUUAAUAUCAAGAUGGUCUCAAGUGACAACAUUUCAGAGCUGCGAGACAUGGCUGUUCAGUGUGGUAUGUCUGACCCCAAUUCUCUGGUUCUUGAUGGUAAUGCAUUUCGGAAUUACACCGAGGAAGAGAGGAUGGAUAGGGUAGAUCGAAUCUCCAUCAUGGGAAACGCCCUUCCCUCUGACAAGCUUCUUUUAGUGGAGUGUUUGAAGCAAAAGGGUCACACGGUAGCUGUCAUUGGAGCCAGGACAGAUGAGACUCCAGCCAUAAGACAAGCUGAUGUAGGGGUGACAAUGGGGACGUGGAGCACCAAAAUGGCCAAAGAGACUUCUGAUAUCGUCAUCUUUGACGGCAAUUUUAGUUCCCUUGUGACCAUCAUGAGGCACGGAAGGUGUGCAUAUGAAAACGUCCAAAAGUACAUGCAGCAUGAGCUCACCAUGGUCAUCGCAGGGUUGCUGGUAACCUUCAUCACCAUGGGGCAUUCGGGGGAUGCCCCAAUAACUGCAAUUCAACUCGCCUUCGGGAGUGUGAUUGUGGGCAUCCCGGGGGGAUUGGCUCUGUUGACAGAGCCACCAGCGGAGAAACUAAUAGGCAAGCAACCAGUAGGACAAGGUGGAACACUGAUAACCUGGGCCAUGUGGAGAAACAUAAUCACUCAAGCCUCAUACCAGGUUGCCAUUUUAGUGACAAUCCAAUUCAAGGGGAAGGUCAUCCUAGGCAUCAGCCCCAAGGUCAAUAAGUCCUUGGUGUUCAACAGUUUUGUUCUCUGCCAGGUUUUCAAUCUAUUCAAUUGCAGAAAGAUGGAGAAGAAGAACAUGUUCCAGGGCAUCAAGAAGAACCUCUGGUUUUGGGUGGCUGUGGCAGCUAUUAUGGGGUUGCAGGCAGCCUUCAUUGAGAUAGAGCAUUGGGUUGGGGGCAGUGCGAGGCUGAACUGUGCACAAUGGGGCACAUGCCUUCUCAUUGGAAUGGUUUCAUGGGUCAUAGAUUAUAUCGGGAAAUUCGCUUCUGAUCUCAUCACACAUUGUAUUGGAUCCAUUUCACGCUACACAUGGGUGUGAGAGAAAGUUUUCACAGGUAUUCCCCAAUCUAAAUUCUAUCAAUAAAAACAAUUUUGCAGAACCAAGCCUAGAAACAAUUCACAGUACUACAAAAAAAAUGAAAAUGAAAAUAAAAUGAUCCUACUAACCUGAUCAUGAUCGUUUUGCAGAGCCUCCCGAGACAUAACCAAGAACGAUUGUUGAAGAAAAAGAAGGUCAAUUGCAGAUGUACAGAGGAAGUCAAGCUUUUCGACUCGUUUAUAUUCGAAUCAUACAGCUCAUGCCAACCGAGACGCCGUGUCCUUGGGAACCGCGUCAUAAGUCUUAGUCAGUGGAACCUACGUCGAACGCGUCUCGCCUUCCCCCAAAAGAAACGCUUCUCUUGACGUUGAAACUUGGAACCACAUUUUCUUGAAAUAAUCUUAGAAUAGUUUAUUUGAACCGCGUUGGAACAGUCUUCAUCAAAUCAUCUACAAUUAUUAUUAUUAUUAUAUUUUUCUAAUUUUCUUUGACCCCCAGCAUUUUGCAUUUAAUAUACACUUACCACUUUCUAAUAUACAAAAUUAUCUUCAAGCAUCAAUUAAUAAUAGUUUAAUAUAUAUAUAU